ensembl:lncRNA
GUUCAUCUGAGCUGUCAAAGCUUUAAUCAAUAGGUGAUAUUAAAACAACACAACAAUCAAAGUUACUUUCAUGUAUGAUUUUAAGACGUAAGUUCAUGUUUAUGUUGGUGAAAUUGAAAUGGACAUGAGACACUUACUCUUGACGGGGUCUCGUAAAUAUGGAAUGCAGUGAAGUAGGGCCAGGUGCCACUGAGUUUGAAUUGUUCUAGGAUUUGUCUUUUUGAUAGUAGGCAAGUUCUUAGUCUUCCUGAAAUUUAGAGUUGCAAAAAAAUGUACAGUAGACUUAUGCUUCUUACUGUUGGUUUUGUUUCUUUGCUAUUCAGCAUCUGAGCAUCCUUUAUCCUCUUUCUGGCAUGUGGGCAUUGGUCCCACUCUGGAACAUAAAAGGCCAAUUCUCCUGCCCUGUUGUAGCUUUAACAGUAGCUGUCAAACCUUGUCGUCCAUGAGGAUCACAUGGAAAGCUUUUAAAAGCAUAGAUUGCUGGGCCACACCCCCUGCGGGGUUUGAGUAUUUACAUCUCUAACAAGUUCCCAGGUGAUGUGCAUGUUGCUGGUUAGGGAUCACACUUUAAGAACCACUGAACGAGCAUGUGAGUACGUGGCUUAGGUCAAACAAGGAGAUGCCUCUGUCUGGACUUGAGACAAUGAUGCAAACACAAGGUCAGCUGGGAGACUCUCUGUGAGUAGAGUAGACACAUCAGCAAUCCAGCUCUGGUGGUGGACAGUGUACGACAGCAGCUAUCGAACAGGUCUGUGCCCUGAGCUUGGCACAGUAAUCCUGGAGCGUGAGUGAACUGGUGAUGGAAAAAUCAACCAUUGGACCAAUAAACACACUCAUAUAGCUUAGGUAUUCUCCAUGUCUUUACCCUGCCUGGCUUGCAGGAAGCACUCGGGAAAUUUUUGAAUGAAUGAACGAAUGAAAGAAAGAUAUUUUCAGUCCUAUUCAUUCGCUGGAACUCUCAAGGAGCAUAAAUUCCUCUCAUUUUGGAGAGGAAAAUUAGAAUCUGAAAAAUCUCUUCUGAGAGCUCGCUUUUUGGUGGUUUUCCUGGUUCCUGUGAGGACCCAUGUGUUUGAAUGAAAUAGCUUGCUGCUGACUGAAUGAUUACUUGUCGUUCUGCUGCUAGUACAUGAAGAAUCUCUCUACACAUGGAACGGUAGGAGCACGUUGCAGUGAAGACUUUGUUAAACAUUCUCCUGGGAAACAUACAUUUUGCGUGAGAAACCAGCAGACAUCCCCUCAAAACGGUCCUUUGACCUCCUGAAAAGACUUCCAUUAUUCCAGUUCACAAAUCAAGACAGGCUAAGCUGUAUCAAGCACUCCUGCUCAUUUGACCCCAAACUUUUGUUGUGGUUUUACUCAAGAGCUAAGACAUGAAAACAUGGAGAGACACAAGUUCUUUUGAAACAGUUAGCAGAGUCUGAGAUGCUACUUGCCAAGUACAAGGUGGAUAUUUAAUUUUUGAAGGUGGUUUGUUUCCUGUAUGUAAACUCUCCACCCUUCAGGGUUGAUUUUGGAAGUCAUGUAAACAGUUCAGAUUUCUCCUUGCCAUUUUCAGGGGUUCAUUUCUGAAGAAUUAAGAAGGGUGUAUUCCCUGUGUGUGUCCUGGGGGUUUCCGUUUCAUCUUCCUUCUCCUUGAACUGUAACGUUAGGCUGUGACCUCCUCUUCUGGUCUUCUUGAGCAUGUCCUGUAUCUCCUCUUCAGAGUCUUCAUGGGUGAGACAGCCUUUGUGCACAAGCUCUGACAGAGGUUCAAGGAGAAAGCUCUCUCUGUUUGGAGAAUGUCCUGUUUGGUGCCAAAAAGAACACAGCCUGGUGUACAGCGAUGAAACACCCUUGUUUGUGUCAGCUCUGCCUUUAAUCUCUUUGAAAAUUGGAAUAUUCACCAAAUCUCUUCAAAGAUCUUUUUCAUUUGUAAAAUGAGGUUAAUUAAACUACACUUUGGUCAGGAUAGGUCUGAUUUUGCAAUGAUAACAAGCAUGCCCCAAAUUUCAGUUGUAUAAAAGGGCAAAGGUUUUUACGCGUUCCACAUGGAUCGGCAGGAGAUCUUGGGUCUGGGUAUUUGCUUAGGGAUUCCGACUCCACACCUCAUCAAAUGCUUCUCAAAGCAGCCAACACGUGCUCCUGGUAUUCAGUUUUUAAACCUCUUCCCGAGACCUUGAGUUUAUUAAGUCCAGCAUUUGCUUCUAAUUUAUUUCAGGUGAGGAGUUACUAAAUGUUUUGCCACUAAAAGGCAGAAUGCCAUCUUUUAGGCCUGCCAUGAACAGUUUCCUCACCAGCCACUGCUUGGUUCCUAAACCAAUGCUAUAUAUUUCAGUUUGGGGCACCAUCCUAAUUAUAUAUGAUAAUUUCUAGAAACAUCAUGUUAGUAUGGAUUAUGCUGUGAUAGCAAAUAACCUCCCCCCAAAAAAGUUAAUGACUUAAAACAAUAAAGGAUUAUUUCUCACUCAAGACACAUUCUCUUAAGCAUUGCUUGGGCAAUUACUCAUUACAGCUCCUCGAGGAUCCAAGUUCAACAAAAUGGAGCCACCACGUCACACAUUGUUGAUUGUUGAUUGCUGCACCAAAGAGUAAAGGGAAUUCCAGGGGGUCUCACACCAGCAAUUAAACACACAGCUUGAGACUUCAUGUGUUUCUUCUACUCAGAACUCAGGGGCAAGAAAAAGUCACAUAUCCCCACCAAACAGACUUACUGUGUGACCAGAAAGGGGGAACUUGCAAAUAUCUGACGAAAAGCACUGAUGACCAGCACAAGCUGGUCCCUUCCACUCAUAAAAUUACACGAUGAUGUUAUUCUUACCAUGGUCCAAGGAACUCUUUGGGUGACAACCCUAGGCCACAG